AAAAUACAUCACUGUUUCAGACAGUCCCUAAAUGGCUGAAUUAUGGUGUUUCUCCCAGAGGGAGAUGAACUUCGGGAGGGAUGUGCUAGUGAGCGGCUCCAGAGAAGCCUGUGGAUUGUCUUAUGCAUUACCUCUGACUGACAUGGAUUAAAGAAGAGGUUUGGAAACUGCCAGCGGAAAAGAACCCACAUUCUUAUCCCUGAGUGCAUGGGCACUAAAAAUAGGUCUUGACUCCUUACCUCAUUCAUUGCGCUCAAAAGAUGGGGGGCUGCACACGCAGCCCUCGCUUGCA
rnacentral:lncRNA from 1 species